GAUGAACGCUGGCGGCGUGCCUAAUACAUGCAAGUAGAACGCUGAAGGAGGAGCUUGCUCUUCUGGAUGAGUUGCGAACGGGUGAGUAACGCGUAGGUAACCUGCCUGGUAGCGGGGGAUAACUAUUGGAAACGAUAGCUAAUACCGCAUGACAACAGUUAUUGCAUGAUAACUGUUUAAAAGGGGCAACUGCUCCACUACCAGAUGGACCUGCGUUGUAUUAGCUAGUUGGUGAGGUAACGGCUCACCAAGGCGACGAUACAUAGCCGACCUGAGAGGGUGAUCGGCCACACUGGGACUGAGACACGGCCCAGACUCCUACGGGAGGCAGCAGUAGGGAAUCUUCGGCAAUGGACGGAAGUCUGACCGAGCAACGCCGCGUGAGUGAAGAAGGUUUUCGGAUCGUAAAGCUCCGUUGUAAGAGAAGAACGAGUGUGAGAGUGGAAAGUUCACACUGUGACGGUAUCUUACCAGAAAGGGAUGGCUAACUACGUG
rnacentral:rRNA from 1 species